UCGGUACUACCGAUUGAAUGGCUUAGUGAGAUCUCCGGACUGGUCUUAUUUAAACUGCAAAGUUUUUAUUUGAUGGGAAGUUGCUCAAACUUGGUCAUUUAGAGGAAGUAA
rnacentral:rRNA from 1 species